UAUACUAUGCCAUGGCGCCCUGAACAAGCCCGAUCCCAUCCGAUCUUGGAAGCUAAGCAGGGUUGGUCCUGGUUAUUACUUGGAUGGGAGACCACCUAGGAAGACCAGGUGCUGGAAAAG
rnacentral:rRNA from 1 species